ACACUAAUUCCAUUCACUCAAACAACCCUAAUUACAUCCACACCAGCGGCGCUCUCUCUCUCUCUGAAAGAAACCACUCACCUUGUAACUCAGUUUCAUUCAUCGUCGCCUCUCUUCUACCUAUCUCUCCUUCAUCAUCUCAUCGCAUCAACUGUAAGUUUAUGGUUUUUUUUUCCGUUCAUCUUUUGUUGUAUGUUUAUGGUUUUUUUUUUUCGUUCAUCUCAUGUUGUAUGUUUAUGAGUUUUUUUGUUCAUCUUCAAAGGAGUAAUUUUUUGUUCUUUGUUCUUUCAGUUUUAGUUAAUCUGUUGUUUCAAUUACAAUUGUUCAUCUCACUCACUCUUUUUUUAGUUGUUGAUUUCAAAUUGAUAUAUGAUUCUGUAAAAAUUAGGGUUUUAAAGUUUUUAGUUUCUUUUACAACUCUUAGUUGAAAUAAUAAUGAAUUUACUUUUUAUUUUAAACAAUGAAGGAGUAACAAAGUCACUCAAACCUCCCUCAGUCUCACCGAUGGACCACAUUGACACAGAUCUGGAAAAUAAAAUACCAGAAAAUAGUAAGCUAUUUUAACUUUGUAUUUUAAUUCUUUUGUUAUUUAAGAUUAAUUUGUUCUCUUUUAUACAAGUUUUGUUCUAUUUUUGUUCUUUUAAGUUAUUUAAGAUUUAAGAUUAAUUUGUUCUUUUUAUUGAAGAUUAAUGUGUGUAAUUUAUUUCACUCUCAGACUUUCAGUCACCAUAUCUUGUUGCUUUUGCUGCCAUUAUUGCCUAUACUCAGUGCUGCUAUUACUGCCUAUACUGUUAAUUUGAGGGAGCUUUGUUAGGAAAUUGUAAGUUAACUCUAAGAAAUGUUUAAUCACUUCCAUUCUAAUUUCAUUUUGUUUUGAUAUUGGUAUUUUGCUGCUACCUAAUGUCUCAAUUGGUCUUUUGUGAAUUAGAGGAUUGAAGAAACACUUGAAAACAUUACUGUUUUGUUUAUGUUUUUCUGUACUCAUGUUCAUGCUGGGUUUAGUUUUUGUUGUGGUUUACUUUUAUUUAUGUUUUUUUUUUGUGGUUUACUUCUCUAAAAUAUUAAUUCAUUUAUCUUUAAUUUAAACACAGAAGCUGAAGGAAUUAAUACUCACUUAUGGAUGACAUUGAUAUUUAUAUGGACAAUGAAUCAACCCAAAAUUGGUAAGCAAUUUAUUUUAAUUCAUUUAUGAUAUUAUUUUAACUUUGUUCUUUUUAAGCUGUUUUUUAUUUAUUUAUUUUAAUUCUGUAGUUUGUUUUGACAGUUAUUGAAGUUUAGCAUGUUUGUUUUCGAACUUUGUAUUAACUUAUUCAUUACUUAAAAAAAAAUUUCUUUGUUUGUUUAAUUUUAAAUUUAUGUUCCUUUUGUUUUGUUUUUGUUUUAGGAGGUAUUGAACAUUUGAGGUUUUGUGGAAGUUGCAUCACUGGUUAAAAGUUUUGGUUGUUCAAUAAUGUAAGUUUAACAAUCUAAAACUUAGUUUUUAACUUGUUAAUUCUUUCUAUUUUAUUUUAUUUGACAAUUGAUUAAGAUGAGUUUUGUUUCUCAUUUAAAUGCAAUUCUGUUAUUAUGUUUACAAUUUUUAACUUCUUAAUUCAUUCUAUUGUCGGAAUUGCUAAUCUAUUGCUAUAUUAUACUAGUUUUUAACUUGUUAAUUCAUUCUAUUUUAUUUGUUUCUCAUUUGGAACUUUUUUUUUAAACAAUUCUCAUUUGGAACUUGUUCUCUUAUUGUGUUUACUAUUUUUAGGAAUCAUAUCUUAAACUUUGAUUGAUGUUGUGCACCCUUUGGAGUAGAUGUUGAUAGAUGAUGCAAAAUGAAGGUAAAUUAUGUUGCUUCUAAAUUAAGAAGGCACUAAUUUUGAUAAUGAAUUUGCUAUAAAAACAUUACAAGUAAAUGGCCCUCAUUAUUUGUUUGUUUUGUAUCCUAGCCCAACUCAAUGGUGGCUGGUGGAGUGGCUGGUGACAGUGGCAACAAUUAUGGAAGAAUGUCAAUACCAAUUUUUGAUUUAUAAUGGGCUGUAAUAUAUUUUUAAUGGUCUGUAAAAUAUAUAAUAUAUAUCUGUAUUAUGUAGUACAACUAAGCUGAAUUUGGUGAUCAAGGUAAGGUGAUCAAGUCAAGCUUAACAAAACAAUAUGCUAGCAAAAACUGAAUGUGUGAAUGAGACCGUCAAGCAGGAUGAAUAUGAAAGUGAAAAUGGCAGUCAAGAGAAAACAGAUUUUAGCAGUUUGAAUGCUGUUAUUAAGCAGCAGCUUGUUGAUAUAUUUAAAUUUAUCCUUUUAUUUGACUUACUCUUAUUUUUCUA
rnacentral:lncRNA from 1 species